rnacentral:rRNA from 1 species
GAGGAAAGUGGCGGACGGGUGAGUAACGCGUGAGGAACCUGCCUUACACAAAGGGAUAGCCUCGGGAAACCGGGAUUAAUACCAUAUGAUAUCACAUCUUCGCAUGAAGAAGUGAUUAAAGAAUUUCGGUGUAAGAUGAGCUCGCGUCCCAUUAAUUAGUUGGUGAGGGUAACGGCCCACCAAGAUAGCGAUGGGUAGCCGAUCUAAGAGGAUGACCGGCCACAUUGGAACUGAGAAACGGUCCAAACUCC